UUCCGAACUGCUUCCAACCCUGGACACGAAGGCCCCCACCGGCCGGAGAACGAAACCCUGGGGUCAUCUGAAGAGGAGGGCCAGGAGUCCCCAGGGCCAGACAGCGAAGCCCCAGAGCUGCUGCGGAGCUGAACACCGAGGUCCCCAAGCCCUCCGCAAAGGACGUGGAGAUCCUGGAGCAAGAGAGCGAAGUCCUCGAGCCAUCAGUCGAGCAGGACGCAGAGAGCCCCGGGCUGUCCACAGCUGCGGGCUUUGAGAGUCCUGAGCCAGGCAGAGACGACCCUGGGCCGUCCGAAGCGCAAAGGGCGGAGUUCCAGGGGCAGCAUCCCCCUCCAGGCCCUAAGACCUCCUCCUCCAGGUCAGGCUCGGAAGCCCCCCACCUGCGUUUUCCGCCGUGCCCCGAGGCUCCCCAGCGUCCCCGGGAGGAGCGGUUCAUGGAGACGCCCAUCGAGCGCGAAAUCCGCCGCAGCUGCGAACGCGAGGAGAGCCUGCGCCGGAGCCGGGGCCUGAGCCCGGGCCGCGCAGGCCGUGAACUCGUCGAGCUGCGCGUGCGGCCGGUGCUCAACCUGCCGGGUCCUGGCCCCGCGCUCCCGCGCGCCCUGGAGCGGGCGCGGGCGGGCGCGCAGAUGCAGCGGGACAUCGAGCGGGAGGCCCACCGGCAGGCGGCGCUGGCGCGCCCCGCGGUCCCCGAGCCGCGCGCCCGGUCGCCGCCGCAGCCGCUGGGCGAACUCAAGCGCUUCUUCGAGGCCGCGGCGGGGAGCGGCUCCUCGGCGGGGGCGGGGGACGGCGCGGGCCCGCAGAGGCUGCCAGAGCCUGGGGGACGGCCGCGCUCGGCCGUGCAGGGCGGGUGCCCGGUGCUGGGCAGCGCCCCGCCGCCUUUCACUCCGUCACUGCUGGAGCAGGAGGUGCGCGCCGUGCGCGAGCGCGAGCAGGAACUGCAGCGCCAGCGGCGCAGCGUCUAUGGCACCGCGGAGUUCAAGGAGCCUACGCCGAGCCUCACCGGUAAGCCGCGGGCGUAGCAACGCCGGGGACCCCCAGGGUUCCAGCCGCCCCCACCGAUUGCCCAACUUCAGUGGCCCCUCCUGUGGCCCUCCGAUUCUCGGGGUCUCUCCCUCCAAGCUCCCAGACCCCCUCUCAACUUUGUCUCUUGCCUACCCCUUCUGGAGCUCCAUUACUCGCUGUGAUCCACCCCUCCACCGGGAGUGAUGGACUCUCUGAUCCACACCACCCAGGCUGCGCGGGGGUGGGGGCAUUCCAGAUGUCUUCCUUUUUGUCGGGUUCCAGGGAACCCUGACUGGGUUCUGGCACUCCUGGGUCCUCCCUCUGAAUUUUCGGGCUCCUGCUUCUCCAUUCUGGGUUCACCUCCCUCCUCCCUCGGGUUCCUGGGUGCCUGGAGUUGAAUGGAGGCUUUCAUGGGGAGGCGGAGGGUGAACGCCUGUGUGUGUUUAAGGGGUGCGGCCGGCCUUUCAUCCUGGCUGCCGCCAGCUGGUGAGCUGAGCGCCCCUUCCCCCGCAGCGAGCAGGGGCGACGGAAAGUUGGCGGUGAUCUGGCCCCCCCGCAGAAAGGUCUCGGAGAACGGCCUGGAGCAGGUGGGAGCCCCCUUACCCGUGUGCCUCUAGCGCUUGUCGGUCCCCCGACCCCUCCGGUGCCAGGACGCUUGGUGGGGAAAAGUGCAUCCUCCCUGGAGGGCCACUCUGGUCAGAACUCAGUCUGGGACGCAUCCCCGGGGUGAAGAGGAGACGGUGGUCUUGAGGCCCAAACCGCCACCCCGAGCCUGGAUGCAGUGCGCAGGUCCCUGAGGCCGGCCUUCCUUCUGGCCCUCUGUCCCCAGGAGGAGCGCAAACUUUGAGGUUUGAAAAGGCUGGGACCCCCGGCCGGAAGUAACGUACGCGUCAGAGGAACAGGGCGGGGGGCGUCUAGCAUUAGGCCUGGAGAAGGGUCGGCUCUCUGCAUUGGGGAAGAUGAAAUCGACUUGCCUUUGUGAAAUUGACCAGCCCCCUCUAUAAAACUUACAGUCCCCCAUUGGGAAACUGACCACCACCCACAACUCCGCCAGUGAAACUGCCCAGCCCUUCUCUGCCUAAUUGCAAACUGAACUACCCUCUCCCUUGACUGUUAAGAGGGCCGGAGUUACCGCCUCGAUUGCCCCACUCCCCCCACCCCCAAUAAAGCCUCUUCUUUCAGGGCA
rnacentral:sRNA from 1 species